rnacentral:tRNA from 1 species
ACGCGUAAAUACGUUAUAAAAACUUGCCUCACACGCGAGAGGUCAACGGUUCGAGUCCGUUCGUGUCCACCA